rnacentral:lncRNA from 1 species
CUCCAUUAUGCCCUGCUGUAUACAGAAACAGAAUGCAAUAACUACCAAAAGACAGGAGUUGCAAUACGUGAGCUGAAAAAUCACUUGGAAAUAUAAUAUUUUCCAUGGAUUUCUUAAUCUUCAAGCCGCCCUUCUCCAUAAUAUAUUAAUUUGUUACAGAGAGGGAAGUGUUGGAAAUGAAGCAUAUCAGAGACAAAAAAUGUAAAUAUUUCUAAAUUCUUUUAAAAAUAUUUCAGUGAAGACUGACUGCCUGUUAAUGACAUCGAUGUUUUUUGGAGAAAUCCUUUGCUCAAUAUAUGGA